AUUGAACGCUGGCGGCAUGCCUUACACAUGCAAGUCGAACGGCAGCACGGGUGCUUGCACCUGGUGGCGAGUGGCGAACGGGUGAGUAAUACAUCGGAACAUGUCCUGUAGUGGGGGAUAGCCCUGCGAAAGCCGGAUUAAUACCGCAUACGAUCUACGGAUGAAAGCGGGGGACCUUCGGGCCUCGCGCUAUAGGGUUGGCCGAUGGCUGAUUAGCUAGUUGGUGGGGUAAAGGCCUACCAAGGCGACGAUCAGUAGCUGGGGUGAGAGGACGACCAGCCACACUGGGACUGAGACACGGCCCAGACUCCUACGGGAGGCAGCAGUGGGGAAUUUUGGACAAUGGGCGAAAGCCUGAUCCAGCAAUGCCGCGUGUGUGAAGAAGGCCUUCGGGUUGUAAAGCACUUUUGUCCGGAAAGAAAUCCUUGGCCCUAAUACGGUCGGGGGAUGACGGUACCGGAAGAAUAAGCACCGGCUAACUACGUG
rnacentral:rRNA from 1 species